UGAACGACAUCGGCCAUUUUUGUUUCACAACAUCCACCUGCUUCGUACUAAACGUCAUUGCAUGGUGGCCAUGAAAAAGGAGGAACAUACUUAACCAACAACUGCAACCAUAAGUUCAAACAAAAAAUAGCUGCCAGAGCCCCAUCAUCUGGAGCUGUGCAUGAAGAACCUCAGAUGUCUGCUCUACAGUUUAACUCAAGACCAGAAACUGUUUCCAAUCAAGAUACACAAAAUCACAGGAAACAUGUUGAUAUUUUCAAACCAACCAGCUCAGGGUCAUCAAAUUCUGGCAGUAUAGCACGCCAAAGAAACAUAUUUCAAAAAGAAAAGAGAAAUUUGAUCAAGAAUGAUGAGCCUGACGAGGCUUAUGGUUUUGCUGAAUUGCCCCUUGACUCAAUAUUUCGUACAUUUUGUCCAACAACACAGACAUGGAUGUAGGUCAACAAUGUCCAGAAAUCAAGUCCAACACAAGGGCCACAUCCUCUGAUGUAUCCUCGCAUGGAUCAAUGAGUCACAACAGUACAGACAUGGAUGUAGGUCAACAAUGUCCAGAAAUCAAGUCCAACACAAGGGCCACAUCCUCUGAUGUAUCCUCGCAUGGAUCAAUGAGUCACAACAGUACAGACAUGGAUGUAGGUCAACAAUGUCCAGAAAUCAAGUCCAACACAAGGGCCACAUCCUCUGAUGUAUCCUCGCAUGGAUCAAUGAGUCACAACAGCAUACAGCAAAACAGGAGGUCUGCUUCAGAUGAUAUCCCCACUAUUUGCGUGGUGAAAAAUACAGAUUUCUGACAAACUCACACAAGCACUGUCACCGCAUGAUCAAGUCACAGGCCAAGGUAGUUUCUCUCAACCACCACGUUAUAAGUAUGAUGAUCCUACUAUCAACUUCAAAGAUCUGACUGGUGAUACAGGAUUUAGUUUCCUUCCUGACAACUCCAAAGAGCAGCUUCUUCUCUCCCCACUUUAGGGCCAGCGAUGCAUGAGAAUGUAAUUGUGUAUCGUGCCCAAACACUAUCGACACAAGGCCAGCAUGGAUCUGUUUACCAUCCCAAAACACUACCGACACAAGGCCAGCAUGGAACUGUUUACAUUCCCCAAAACAGUACCGACACAAGGCCAGGAUGGAACUGUUUACCAUCCCAAAACACUACCGACACAAGGCCAGCAAGGAACUGUUUACCAUCCCAAAACACUACCGACACAAGGCCAGGAUGGAACUGUUUACCAUCCCAAAACACUACCGACACAAGGCCAGCAAGGAACUGUUUACCAUUCCAAAACACUACUGACACAAGGCCAGGAUGGAACUGUUUACCAUCCCAAAACACUACCGACACAAGGCCAGCAAGGAACUGUUUACCAUCCCAAAACACUACCGGACACAAGGCCAGCAUGGAACUGUUUACCAUCCCAAAACACUACCGACACAAGGCCAGGAUGGAACUGUUUACCAUCCCAAAACACUACCGACACAAGGCCAGC